GACGAACGCUGGCGGCGCGCCUAACACAUGCAAGUCGAACGAGAGAGAGGGAGCUUGCUUCCUCAAUCGAGUGGCGAACGGGUGAGUAACGCGUGAGGAACCUGCCUCAAAGAGGGGGACAACAGUUGGAAACGGCUGCUAAUACCGCAUAAGCCCACAGCUCGGCAUCGAGCAGAGGGAAAAGGAGCAAUCCGCUUUGAGAUGGCCUCGCGUCCGAUUAGCUAGUUGGUGAGGUAAUGGCCCACCAAGGCGACGAUCGGUAGCCGGACUGAGAGGUUGAACGGCCACAUUGGGACUGAGACACGGCCCAGACUCCUACGGGAGGCAGCAGUGGGGAAUAUUGCACAAUGGGGGAAACCCUGAUGCAGCGACGCCGCGUGGAGGAAGAAGGUCUUCGGAUUGUAAACUCCUGUUGUUGAGGAAGAUAAUGACGGUACUCAACAAGGAAGUGACGGCUAACUACGUGCCAGCAGCCGCGGUAAAACGUAGGUCACAAGCGUUGUCCGGAAUUACUGGGUGUAAAGGGAGCGCAGGCGGGAAGACAAGUUGGAAGUGAAAUCUAUGGGCUCAACCCAUAAACUGCUUUCAAAACUGUUUUUCUUGAGUAGUGCAGAGGUAGGCGGAAUUCCCGGUGUAGCGGUGGAAUGCGUAGAUAUCGGGAGGAACACCAGUGGCGAAGGCGGCCUACUGGGCACCAACUGACGCUGAGGCUCGAAAGUGUGGGUAGCAAACAGGAUUAGAUACCCUGGUAGUCCACACCGUAAACGAUGAUUACUAGGUGUUGGAGGAUUGACCCCUUCAGUGCCGCAGUUAACACAAUAAGUAAUCCACCUGGGGAGUACGACCGCAAGGUUGAAACUCAAAGGAAUUGACGGGGGCCCGCACAAGCAGUGGAGUAUGUGGUUUAAUUCGACGCAACGCGAAGAACCUUACCAAGUCUUGACAUCCCUUGACGAACAUAGAAAUAUGUUUUCUCUUCGGAGCAAGGAGACAGGUGGUGCAUGGUUGUCGUCAGCUCGUGUCGUGAGAUGUUGGGUUAAGUCCCGCAACGAGCGCAACCCUUACUGUCAGUUACUACGCAAGAGGACUCUGGCAGGACUGCCGUUGACAAAACGGAGGAAGGUGGGGAUGACGUCAAAUCAUCAUGCCCUUAUGACUUGGGCUACACACGUACUACAAUGGCGUUAAACAAAGAGAAGCAAGACCGCGAGGUGGAGCAAAACUCAGAAACAACGUCCCAGUUCGGACUGCAGGCUGCAACUCGCCUGCACGAAGUCGGAAUUGCUAGUAAUCGUGGAUCAGCAUGCCACGGUGAAUACGUUCCCGGGCCUU
rnacentral:rRNA from 1 species